GUAGUCAUAUGCUUGUCUCAAAGAUUAAGCCAUGCAUGUCUAAGAAUAAGCCCUUGAACGGUGAAUCUGCGAAUGGCUCAUUAAAUCAGUUAUUGUUUAUUUGAUGGUACCUUACUACUUGGAUAACCGUAGUAAUUCUAGAGCUAAUACAUGCGCCAAGCCCUGACUUUUAUUAGAAGGGGUGCAUUUAUUAGAUUCAAACCAUCGGAGGCCGCAAGGUUUCCUUUGAUGGUGAGUCAUAAUAACUUAGCGAAUCGAAUGGCUUUACGCUGUCGAUGCUUCAUUCAAAUUUCUGCCCUAUCAGCUUUCGAUGGUAGGAUCUUGGCCUACCAUGGCUACAACGGGUAACGGGGAAU
rnacentral:rRNA from 1 species